rnacentral:rRNA from 1 species
UGCCAGACUCCUACGGGAGGCAGCAGUGGGGAAUAUUGCACAAUGGGGGAAACCCUGAUGCAGCGACGCCGCGUGAGUGAAGAAGUAUUUCGGUAUGUAAAGCUCUAUCAGCAGGGAAGAUAAUGACGGUACCUGAGUAAGAAGCCCCGGCUAACUACGUGCCAGCAGCCGCGGUAAUACGUAGGGGGCAAGCGUUAUCCGGAUUUACUGGGUGUAAAGGGAGCGUAGACGGCAUGGCAAGUCUGAAGUGAAUGCCCGGGGCUCAACCGCGGGACUGCUUUGGAAACUGUUAAGCUGGAGUGCAGGAGAGGUAAGUGGAAUUCCUAGUGUAGCGGUGAAAUGCGUAGAUAUUAGGAGGAACACCAGUGGCGAAGGCGGCUUACUGGACUGUAACUGACGUUGAGGCUCGAAAGCGUGGGGAGCAAACAGGAUUAGAUACCCCUGUA